AGGACGAACGCUGGCGGCGUGCCUAUACAUGCAAGUCGAACGGUCUUUCUAUGGAAGCUUGCUUCCACUGAGAAGAUAGUGGCGAACGGGUGAGUAACACGUGGGUAACCUGCCCAUAAGAGGGGGAUAACAUCCGGAAACGGGUGCUAAUACCGCAUAGUUUUCUUGAUCGCAUGAUCGGGAAAGGAAAGACGGCCUUUGUGCUGUCGCUUAUGGAUGGACCCGCGGCGUAUUAGUUAGUUGGUGAGGUAACGGCUCACCAAGACGAUGAUACGUAGCCGACCUGAGAGGGUGAUCGGCCACAUUGGGACUGAGACACGGCCCAAACUCCUACGGGAGGCAGCAGUAGGGAAUCUUCCGCAAUGGACGAAAGUCUGACGGAGCAACGCCGCGUGAGUGAAGAAAGGUUUUCGGAUCGUAAAACUCUGUUGUCAGAGAAGAACAAGUUGGAGAGUAACUGCUCCAGCCUUGACGGUAUCUGACCAGAAAGCCACGGCUAACUACGUGCCAGCCGCCGC
rnacentral:rRNA from 1 species